CCUUCUUGCAGCCUGGACACCUAUAUUGUAGCGAUAAUUUUACCCAAGUUGCCUUAUCGUGGUGAAAGCGACCGUCCGCCCACAGAGGCAAAGACACACCUUUUGCAUUGACCGGGCUGCAGAAGCAAUGUCCUCCAGAGAAGUCAACCGACAUGUUCUAGUGACGUUCCCCAGCCAAGCGGUCCUACGAUAUCACCUGCACCAGAACCUGCCACCACUCUCUGUCGAACAGAGAAAGCAGAAACCGACAACACCACAAACAGAACUACUUGUAAGCGCUACGCCGGAAGCAACUGCUCUUUUAUUGCAAGACCUCAGCUACGCCGCAUUCGACAAGACAAUUUUACCAAAUUCCGUCGAGUCUCCGAGAAGCGAAAGAGAUUGUCGACAGCUGUUUCGUUUAGGUCAUAAUUAAAAAAAAGAGGCAAAGUUUGAUUUGUCUUCCCAUCAAGAGGAC